rnacentral:rRNA from 1 species
GAUGAACGCUGGCGGCGUGCCUAAUACAUGCAAGUCGGGCGAACAGACGAGGAGCUUGCUCCUCUGACGUUAGCGGCGGACGGGUGAGUAACACGUGGAUAACCUACCUAUAAGACUGGGAUAACUUCGGGAAACCGGAGCUAAUACCGGAUAAUAUAUUGAACCGCAUGGUUCAAUAGUGAAAGACGGUUUUGCUGUCACUUAUAGAUGGAUCCGCGCCGCAUUAGCUAGUUGGUAAGGUAACGGCUUACCAAGGCAACGAUGCGUAGCCGACCUGAGAGGGUGAUCGGCCACGCUGGAACUGAGACACGGUCCAGACUCCUACGGGAGGCAGCAGUAGGGAAUCUUCCGCAAUGGGCGAAAGCCUGACGGAGCAACGCCGCGUGAGUGAUGAAGGUCUUCGGAUCGUAAAACUCUGUUAUUAGGGAAGAACAAAUGUGUAAGUAACUAUGCACGUCUUGACGGUUCCUAAUCAGAAAGCCACGGCUAACUACGUG